GGCAAAGGAAGGAAAGAACAUUUGGGACCACUAAGCAGUUCCCAAAGCAAAUGGAACCAGAAAAGGGCACAGGUGCCUGGGAGCAGGAAGGAGGAGGGCAGAAAUGACAGCCAGUUAGGAAUUGGAGGUUAAAAAUGAACUUUGCCUACUGCCUAGGAGAGCCCUGCUUAGUAAUGAGUUCUUCACAAGGAAUUAAAGAACUCUAAGAACCCUAGGUUCUCUUAAGGGUGAAAGAAUCUUAAAGAUCAUCUAAUUCCCCAAAGGUGUGUCAACCUCCCCUGGAUAUUUGCAUUUUGAGAGCAAGCCCGACACCUCAGACUAGAUGACUUACCUUUCCUUUGAAGAACUAACUUACUCUCCCCAAGUCAGAGAGUAGCUAACAGGAUGAAACAUUGUGUGUCUUGAGGGUAGGUCAUCCGUGGAGGCUUGGGCCCCAGUGUCUUAGCCAUUGGGCACAGAUGGCUGAGGUCCCUGGGAGCCGUCCUCCACCCUAGCCCGUCCCCCACCAGGAGCUCUGAGGAGGAACCAAGAACAUCUGCCAUCUUACUCUUGACCUCUGUCUUCCUUGGCUUGGAAAUCAAGGAUGAUAAAAGUGUGCAGUUGGCCACAGGGAACUGGGCCCUAGAUUUUUCCAGACUCUACACUCACCUCCAGACCUCUGGGCCUCAGGGAAGAGGAAAUAUUCAAAGAGCUCAGAUUGUAGCUGAGGUGGAAAUGGCUGAUAAUAGCACGAUCUGCCACUCUCCCAGGUGUUGACAUUUGCAUUGUAAUGGAGGCGGUUAAUGCCUUCAGCUGGAGUGACUAAUAUGUUCUUUCAGUUGCUGCUGGAAGUACAGGGAGAGCCUUUGCGGCCCAGGGCCUUUUAAUGCCCUCUAGUCACAAUACUAGAUCACUCCUGAUUCACAGCUGCCAACCCUUUGGAUUGUAAUGCCCACAUUCCAUGCUUUAUCUGUGUUCCUGUUCUUGACUUUGCUUUCUUGCACUUUCUCCUGAAUCCUUUUUUCCUAGAAGUAUGGGAACAUCCCCAUGAGUCACUUAUUCUUUCAACACACAUAAACUGAUUACCCAUUUCAAGCAGAAAACUAUGCUGGACAUAGUCGAGUGGGGGGAGCCCAAGAAGUAUGCCAGCAAGAUGCCAUCCCCAAGAAGUCAGAGGUGAGGAAAUCACAGAAAGAGCUGGAGAACAGCACAGUGCCAGCAGAGCUGGGCUUUGCAGCAUAUGCCAAGUACUUCUUGAACAAACAGACGGCUGAGAACUAAUAGGAGAAAGUAUUCUUAUAGGCGGGGGGAGCAAGAGGCUUCUGGGAGAUGUGAGAAGGGGACAGAAGUGUGUGUGGGAGUUGGAUAUACAACAACUGGAUGGAGUUUUGAGGAUUCAAAACAUUCCUCUAGUCACAAAAGACCAUGUAUUGUAUGAUCCACAUAUUAUAUGAAAUGUCCAAAAGAGGCAAAUCUAUAGAAACAGAAAAGAGAUCAUUGAGUGCCUAGAGCUGAGGGGAAAUGGGUGUAGGAGAUGGGGAUUAAUUGCUAAUGAGUACAAUGGGAUGGUGAAAGCUGUUCUAAGAUUGUGGUGAUGGUUCCACAACUCUAAAUAUACUAAAAAAAAAUUUGAAUUUCAUACUUUAAAUGGAUGAACUUUAUGGAAUGCAAAUUAUAUCUUAAUAAAGCUGUUUAAAAAUGGGGGAAAAGUGGGAUCCAAAAAGACCAUUCCUUCAGUAAUCCUGCUUAGUUAUAGAAGGAACACCCUAGUUUUAAGUUCCUAGUCUUUUCCUGUAUGAAGGCUCUUUUUUUUUUUCUCCUGGCCUCACCACACGGCUUGUGGGAUUUUAGUUCCCUGACCAGGGAUUGAACCCGGGCCCUCAGCUGGGAGAGCAUGGAGUCCUAACCACUGGAUUGCCAGGGAAUUCCCCGAAGGCUCAUUUUUAAGGCAAAAUGGCACCCUUUCUCCUCCCAAACCAAUGAGCUUCGCUGAGAGCAGAUCCAGCACAGAAGACAGCCAGAGCCAUGCCGGUUGGCAGACACUUGUCUUCAGCAAAUGUAAUUAAAGGCAGCAGCAAGCAUCCCACCUGAUGAGAAAACAGUCUUUCCACUCAACACAGAGGACCGAGGGAAGAGCGCUAAACUUGGGGUCAGAAUACCUGGAGGGUCUACACCAGCUCUACCACUUUCCAGCUGUGUGAUAUCCGACAAGUCACACGUCACCUCUCUGAACUGCAGUCCCAGCAAGGGUAACUGCUCUCCUACCCUUCACGAUUUGUUAUGAGGAUCCGGACAAUGAUGUGAAAUUCCUUUUCAAAUUAUUCACCAUUCUGUAAAAUGGGAAUCAUUCUUAAUAA